CCUACGGGAGGCAGCAGUGGGGAAUAUUGGACAAUGGGGGGAACCCUGAUCCAGCGACGCCGCGUGAGUGAAGAAGUAUUUCGGUAUGUAAAGCUCUAUCAGCAGGGAAGAAAGAAAUGACGGUACCUGACUAAGAAGCCCCGGCUAACUACGUGCCAGCAGCCGCGGUAAUACGUAGGGGGCAAGCGUUAUCCGGAUUUAAUGGGUGUAAAGGGAGCGUAGACGGCGAUGCAAGUCUGAAGUGAAAGGCGGGGGGCCAACCCCCGGACUGCUUUGGAAACUGUAUGGCUGGAGUGCAGGAGAGGUAAGUGGAAUUCCUAGUGUAGCGGUGAAAUGCGUAGAUAUUAGGAGGAACACCAGUGGCGAAGGCGGCUUACUGGACUGUAACUGACGUUGAGGCUCGAAAGCGUGGGGAGCAAACAGGAUUAGAUACCCCAGUAGUC
rnacentral:rRNA from 1 species